CUCUCCGCGCCUGGCGCCCCCCACGCCCCGGGAGCUCGCCAGACACUGUGGGGAGGGGUGGGCGCCGCCGCCUUAUACCACGCCGCGGGGGCCGGAGAAUGCACGCAGGGGGCGGAGUUGGCCCUACGGGCCCCGCCCCCUCCGCCCGCCCUCACAGCGCUGACUUCGGUGUGGUUCCCCCUCGGCCGCCGUCGUCGGCUCCCGGUCCUGCUGGGUGUUCCCCCGCAACGUCGCGGCCACCACCACGCGUGCGGGACGCCAAUGUCGGCCUCACCCUCAGUCUCUGGCAGAGAAAAGGGGAAACCGCUAAGGAUGGAUGGGGCGUGUCCCCUCGGGGCCUGACUCAGGUUUGACACCCAUUGUUCAAAAGACACAAAGUGAACACCGUUCUUGAGGUUGGAGGACACAUGGCUGGCCUCAAAGGGGACUCUCCUCCACCGCCGGAUGCGAAAAAGAUUCGAAGAGAAAUGACGCAGGACAGCCUGGUUGACGUCUAGAGUUUGGACAAUUAGCCGAUAUAUACAUAUACGGUGUUACCAUCUGAAGAGGAUAGAAUGAAAAAAAGAAAUGAGAAAUCAGCUUGUUGUGAAGCUUGUGAGAAAAAAAAAAUAAGGACAUCUUGGUUGCUUCCAAGUUUUAGCAAUUAUGAAUAAAGCUGCUCUGAACCUCCUUCUGCAGGUUUUUAGGUGGCUGACAGAGUCUUGGUGCUCCUGCCUGGUGUCAGACCUGAGCCUCUGAGGUGGGAGAGCCAAGUUCAGGACAUUGGAUCACCAGACACCUCCCGGCCCCACAUAAUAUCAGUUGGUGAGAGGUCUCCCAGAGAUCUCCAUCUCAACACUAAGACCCAGGUCCACCCAAUGGCCAGAAAACUCCAGUGCUGGAUGCCCCAUGCCAAACAACUAGUAAGACAAGAACACAACCCCACCCAUUAGCAGAGAGGCUGCCUAAAAUCAUACUGAGUUCACAGACACCCCAAAACACACAACCAGACAUGGUCCUGCCCACCAGAAAGACAAGAUUCAGCCUCAUCCGCCAGAACACAGGCACCAGCCCCCUCCACCAAGAAGGCUACACAAGCCACUGAACCAUCCUCACCCACUGAGGGCAGACACCAAAAACAACAGGAAUUACAAACCUGCAGCCUGUGAAAAAGGAGACCCCAAACACAGUAAGUUAAGCAAACUGAGAAGACAGAAAAAUAUGCAGCAAGGUAAUAUUGAGGGAGCAAGGUAAAAACCCAUGGGACUAAACAAAUGAAGAGGAAAUAAGCAGUCUACCUGAAAAAGAAUUCAGAGUAAUGAUAGUAAAGAUGAUCCAAAAUCUUGGACAUAGAAUGGAGAAAAUACAAGAAACGUUUAACAAGAACCUAGAAGAACUAAAGAGCAAACAAACAAUGAUGAGCAACACAAUAAAUGAAAUUAAAAAUUUUCUAGAAGGAAUCAAUAGCAGAAUAACUGAGGCAGAAGAACAGAAAAGUGCCCUGGAAGAUAAAAUAGUGGAAAUAAUUACUGCAGAGCAGAACAAAGAAGAAAGAAUGAAAAGAUUGAGGACAAUCUCAGAGACCCCUGGGACAAUAUUAAACACACCAACAUUCGAAUUAUAGGGGUCCCAGAAGAAGACGAGAAAAAGAAAGGGUCUGAGAAAAUAUUUGAAGAGAUUAUAGUUGAAAACUUCCCUAAUAUGGGAAAGGAAAUAGGUGAUCAACUCCAGGAAGUGCAGAGAGUCCCAUACAGGAUAAAUCCAAGGAGAAACAUGCCAAGACACAUAUUAAUCAAACUAUCAAAAAUUAAAUACUAAAAAGAAAUAUUAAAAGCAGCAAGGGAAAAGCAACAAAUAAUGUACAAGGAAAUCCCCAUAAGGUUAACAGCUGAUCUUUCAGCAGAAACUCUGCAAGCCAGAAGGGAGUGGCAGGACAUAUUUAAAGGGAUGAAAAGGAAAAACCUACAACCAAGAUUACUCUCCCCAGAAAGGAUCUCAUUCAGAGUCAAUGGAGAAAUUAAAACCUUUACAGACAAACAAAAGUUAAGAGAAUUCAGCACCACCAAACCAGCUUUACAACAAAUGCUAAAGGGACUUCUCUAGGCAGGAAACACAAGAGAAGGAAAAGACCUACAAAAACAACCCAAAACAAUUAAGAAAAUGGUAAUAAGAACAUACAUAUCAAUAAUUACCAUAAAUGUAAAUGGAUUAAAUGCUCCAACCAAAAGACAUAGACUGGGCUUCCCUGGUGGCGCAGUGGUUGAGAGUCCGCCUGCCGAUGAAGGGGACACGGGUUCAUACCCAGUCUGGGAAGAUCCCACAUGCCGCAGAGCAGCUAGGCCCGUAUGGCCACUGAGCCUGCGCGUCUGGAGCCUGUGCUCAGCAACGGGAGAGGCCACAGCAGUG